rnacentral:rRNA from 1 species
GAUGAACGCUAGCGGCAGGCUUAAUACAUGCAAGUCGAGGGGCAUCAAGGUACACGAAAGUGUAUUGUUGGCGACCGGCGGACGGGUGAGUAAUAGGUAGGUAACCUACCUCAUACUGAGGCAUAGCUGGGAGAAAUUCCAGGUAAUUCCUCAUGAGGUUAUAUGACACAUGUGAUAUAAUCAAAGGUAUCGCAAGGUACUGGUAUGAGAUGGGCUUACUGACCAUUAGCUAGUUGGUGAGAUAAGAGCUCACCAAGGCGAAGAUGGUUAGGGGUUUUGAGAGAGAGAUCCCCCACAUUGGAACUGAGAUACGGUCCAGACUCCUACGGGAGGCAGCAGUAGGGAAUAUUGGGCAAUGGGCGGAAGCCUGACCCAGCCAUGCCGCGUGAAGGAGACGGCCUUAUGGGUUGUAAACUUCUUUACUAUGCGACUAACUAGAUUUACGAGAUAAUUCUAUAGAAUGUAGCAUAGCAAAAGCACCGGCUAAC